CAGCCAUCCAGAUCCAGGAGAUGAACCUGGUCCUUCUCAGUCCAUGGCAGAGGAGCAACCUCCCUCCAAGACAAUUUCCAGAGGCAGGAGAUGCUGAUCUGUCCAACUCUCAAGAGUUCAGUGGAAGACCAGCCUCCCUCUGAGCCAGCUUCUCUGCCGUUGGAAGAUGAUCUCUUAGUGGACAGAGACAUAGAGGAACUCAAUGUAAAUCUGAAUCACUCAGAGAGGUACC